rnacentral:tRNA from 1 species
AGUAGCUCGGUGGUAGAGUGCUUGCCUAGCAUGCAUGAGGUCCUGGGUUCAAUCCCCAGUACUA